CCAAAGCAAAGAACAAAGGGAAAAGAAUAAGAACAAACCCUAGAGAGGAAAAUUCAAGAGAAAAUUGUUGAAUUUCAAGGAACCAAGCAAUCAAAGGUAAGAUUUUUUAAUUUUAGCUUAAGAUCUAUCUUACCCAUGCUUUUUUUUUCAUUUUCUAUGGAUGAAACACAGGUUUCCAUGAGGGAAUACAUGCUGGCCGAACAUUGGGAGAGAGGUUUUGAUGAUGAAUUUUGCUAGAUUUCAUGAUAUCUUAAUGUUUUUAGUUGUUUGAUGAUGUUUGGCAUGAAAAACUAGCAAGAAAAUCACGUGCCCUUCAAAAACCCUCUUUGGCCGAAUUUAUUAGGUGACAUGUUGAUGAUGGAUUUUGAUGUGUUUCAUCUUAUUUAGCUUGUAGUUGAUGAUUUAUGGUAUCGGAUAUCGAAAUCGAAAUAAAUUUCGAUUACGGUGAAUUAAGUCACAAUUAAGCUCAUUGAGGUACUUUGGUGUAUUUGGAAUAUUGGAAGUGUAAUGAAGAUAUUUG
rnacentral:lncRNA from 1 species